rnacentral:rRNA from 1 species
UACGUAGGGUGCAAGCGUUAAUCGGAAUUACUGGGCGUAAAGCGUGCGCAGGCGGUUAUGUAAGACAGUUGUGAAAUCCCCGGGCUCAACCUGGGAACUGCAUCUGUGACUGCAUAGCUAGAGUACGGUAGAGGGGGAUGGAAUUCCGCGUGUAGCAGUGAAAUGCGCAGAUAUCAGGAGGAACACCGAUGGCGAAGGCAGCCUCCUGGGCCAACACUGACACUCAGGCACGAAAGCGUGGGGAGCAAACAGG